GUUCCGAUGCAAUGCUACUGUGUGUACAACAUUGAUUCUUUGUGUGUUGUUCUCUCCACUGCUACUACCAAAUCUCAAUUUUUCGUCAGCAAUCUGUUAUAUGCUGUUGUGACUUUUGUUUCUUUCGUAUGUUUUCUCUUACAUUCUAAUGGUUCCCCAAUCAUCUAUCAUUCACUCACUCACUCAUCCACACACACACACUCUCUCUCUCUCUUUUUAUUUCACAUAGAUUCAAUUUCCAUCAUCGUCAUUUGACAAUCUCAUACGUAAUACAUAUAUUACAAUUAAUGACGAUAAUCGAAACUAAUCGAAGAAUAAUCGCAAAACAAUCAAUAAUAAUUAAUAAGUAAUUUUUAAGUGAUUUGCCCCUCGCACCUACCAUUUUGGCACUAAACGAAUUUAAAAAUACAUAUUCACAGCAUGAUGAACGUAUAUGCUACAGUCGAUCCUAAAUAAAUAAAUCAUCCUCACAAUAAUAAUAUAUACACACACAUACAUACUCUUUCUUUUACUCACACACACACCUUCAUCCACGAAUCAAGCAAAAAAUGUAAGCAAUCAAUUCACACGAAAAGUAUAGGUGUAAAAUUUAAACAACUUGAGACGAUUCUAAAAUUUGUUAAUACAUUUGUGCAAAUGAAGAAGCAUAUUUGGUAUUUAUUAAAAGUUUUAGAUAAAUUUAAAAACAUGCAGAAUUCAAAUGAACCUUUGCGUCGGAUUUAGGGACAAAUUAAUAGACAGAUUUUAAAAAUGAGUUUAACAAAACACCGUUAUGGGUAACAAACGAAGUACAAGAUGACUGCUUCAAUUUUUAACAUAAAUUUGAAAUUAUCAUGGAGCAUUUGCUGUGUAUCUAUCAAAUCAAUGGCAUGCGGAAAGUACAUGCCAGCCACAGCUGCAACGGUCCAAUCCAAUCAAAUCGGAAACGCUGGUCUUCAGGACGGAACUUAUUUAGUUGAAGAAUCUUUUUAAGCUCAAGCAUCAUAAACAUAUGUUUAAUUUAGUUGCUAAGUAAAAAAAAGAUGCAAUUUUAGCAUUUUUCCAUUUCUUAAAAUAAUAUCUAUUGUUGUCAUUAGUAAUGACUAAUUAUUAUGUUGCAAUGUUCAAUCGUCUAUUUUUCAUGACCGAAAGUCCAUUUUUGGUAUUGACAUUUGAAUGGGUUAUAAUAUUCGUGAGCUCAAAAAAUUUGUUGAAGUAAAAGAGCAACAUUUCUUGAAGUCAUGAAAAUUAUAGCCGGUUCAUAAAUCAUGAUUGAUUUAUUGUCUAACCGGGGAUUGCGUUGGCAUUUUUAUAUGAAAACGUCAGUGGAAUCUUAAUCGCGAACGCCAUCUUUGGUUACAUGUAUAUAGCUGUUUCUUUGCUGAAAAUUUCACUUCAAUUUACUACAAUAUUUAUUUAGAAAUAUACAAAUAUUUUAAAUAUUUGUGAUGAAAUGCACAGAAAUAUACAUUUUGGAUGUAUAUGCAAAUAUUCAUUUUAAUUCUUCUUAAAAAAGAGCAUGUUACACAAAACAGGUACGACAAAUUUCAAAUUUGCAAAAUGUAAACAAGAAAAUGACAGCUAUUAUUCGGCCCAACAUUGAACUGAUAGAACCGCUGUAAUGCCAUAUAUACUUUAUACAGAUGGGAAACAAGAGAUGGCGUUGUCAUAGAAUUCGGACUAAAAAUGUCAGUCGUAAUACCGGGUUUUUAUUGUCUUUGAAUCAUUUGGAACAUUGCAACAUAGGAUAUGAAAACGUUUUUUUUUUCUGAAAUUAUUAGCAUCUUUAGAUGCAUGAACUCGUCAUUUCGUUGAUUGAAUAGCUGGAACAAAUUUUUAGAAAUAGUUUGAAAAUUUAAAAUAAUUCAAAUGGAAUCAAAGUAUUAAUAUUAAAAUUAUUGUCAUAAACUCGAACAAUGAAACCAAAUGAAUUAGCUACAAAAAAAAAGAUAACUUUACAAAAUGUUCUAGCAAAAUAUAUUCAGAAAUGUAGAUAAAUGUAUUUUAAAUAAGUUAUCAAAAUAUGCCAGUUCCCUGUUGUAAUAGAAUUAAAAUGAAAAGAAUAAAUCAUCAAACAAUCCAUUACAAUUUUAAAA